AUCAACGCUGGCGGCGUGCCUAACACAUGCAAGUCGAACGCGAAAGGGGAGCAAUCCCUGAGUAGAGUGGCAAACGGGUGAGUAACACGUGGGUGACCUGCCUUCGAGUGGGGGAUAACGUUCCGAAAGGAACGCUAAUACCGCAUGACAUCCUGCUUUUGGAAAAGCGGAGAUCAAAGCUGGGGAUUCGCAAGAACCUAGCGCUUGAAGAGGGGCCCGCGCCUGAUUAGCUAGUUGGUGAGGUAACGGCUCACCAAGGCUACGAUCAGUAUCCGGCCUGAGAGGGCGGACGGACACACUGGGACUGAGACACGGCCCAGACUCCUACGGGAGGCAGCAGUGGGGAAUUGUUCGCAAUGGGCGCAAGCCUGACGACGCAACGCCGCGUGGAGGAUGAAGGCCCUUGGGUUGUAAACUCCUGUCGGCU
rnacentral:rRNA from 1 species